rnacentral:lncRNA from 1 species
AUGCUCACCUUCCUGUCGCCGCUCAUCCCGGACAGCAUCUUCCAGAGGAUCCGUUCCCUAUGUGCACCUCCAGUCUUGUUCUUGUUCACCCACUAUUUAAACUCUGCAGAGGCAACAUCCGACCCAGACAUCAAAGACAACCUCUUCCGUGAAGCAACUGCGCUUGCCAUCAGGCAACCUGCACUGCGUGAGGCCCUGGGAUUCACUGAGCCGCAGUCAGAGCCUGCAUCAGUUCCUGCACCUCAGACUGCAUCAUUUCUUUGCGUCACAGUCUGCAUUAGCCUCUACAUUACAGGCUGCAUCGGUUCCUGCGUCUCAGCCGGCAUCGGUUCCUGCGUCUCAGCCGGCAUCGGUUCCUGCGUCUCAGCCGGCAUCGGUUCCUGCGUCUCAGCCGGCAUCGGUUCCUGCGUCUCAGCCGGCAUCGGUUCCUGCGUCUCAGCCGGCAUCGGUUCCUGCGUCUCAGCCGGCAUCGGUUCCUGCGUCUCAGCCGGCAUCGGUUCCUGCGUCUCAGCCAGUCCUGUCUUGGCCCCAGCUCAGCCACGUCACGCUCGGGCUCCAGCUCAGCCACGUCACGCUCGGGCUCCAGCUUUAGGCCAGCCAGUGUGCACCUCACGCCAGCCAAGCCAGGCCUCAGUCCCUGUCGGCCUCCCCGAAGAGGUCGCUCCUGCUGCAGUCCCUGUCGGCCUCCCCGAAGAGGUCGCUCCUGCUCCAGUCCCUGUCGGCCUCCCCGAACAGGUCGCUCCUGCUCCAGUCCCUGUCGGCCCCCGAAGAGGUCGCUCCUGCUCCAGUCCCUGUCGGCCCCCGAAGAGGUCGCUCCUGCUCCAGUCCCUGUCGGCCCCCGAAGAGGUCGCUCCUGCUCCAGUCCCUGUCGGCCCCCGAAGAGGUCGCUCCUGCUCCAGUCCCUGUCGGCCCCCGAAGAGGUCGCUCCUGCUCCAGUCCCUGUCGGCCCCCGAAGAGGUCGCUCCUGCUCCAGUCCCUGUCGGCCCCCGAAGAGGUCGCUCAUGCUCCUGUCGGCCCCCGAAGAGGUCGCUCAUGCUCCUGUCGGCCCCCGAAGAGGUCGCUCAUGCUCCUGUCGACCACGAAGAGGUCGCUCAUGCUCCUGUCGACCACGAAGAGGUCGCUCAUGCUCCUGUCGACCACGAAGAGGUCGCUCAUGCUCCUGUCGACCACGAAGAGGUCGCUCAUGCUCCUGUCGACCACGAAGAGGCCGCUCAUGCUCCUGUCGGCCCUCCAGGGGUCGCUCAUGCUCCUGUCGGCCCUCCAGGGGUCGCUCAUGCUCCUGUCGGCCCUCCAGGGGUCGCUCAUGCCCUAGUUCCUGUCGGCCUCUAG